rnacentral:rRNA from 1 species
UACGAAGGGGACUAGCGUUGUUCGGAAUCACUGGGCGUAAAGCGCACGUAGGCGGAUGUGUCAGUCAGGGGUGAAAUCCCGGGGCUCAACCUCGGAACUGCCUUUGAUACAGCACGUCUCGAGUCCGGAAGAGGUGGGUGGAAUUCCUAGUGUAGAGGUGAAAUUCGUAGAUAUCAGGAGGAACACCAGCAGCGAAGGCGGCGCUCUGGGCUGGAACUGACGCUGAGGAGCGAAAGCGUGGGUAGCAAACAGG